AUACACAGAUUUCUUAGUGAGAUCCUAAGGGCCUACAGAGACAGGCUGACACCAACUCAACCCUUGAAACUGAGCAAUGAAGAGCCUGUGGGAGGCUAAAAAAUGCUGCUUCAAAAAGAUGUCCUUGUCUGUGAAUGUUAAUUUAGGUUAAUUUGCAGAUUUGAUUAAGGGUCUUGAGAUUAUUUUGGAUUAUCCAGGUGGGCUCUAGGGCCCUAGAUGCAAUCACAAGUGUCCUUAUAACAGGGAGGCAGAGGAAAAUUAAACAUGCACACACGAGAAAGAGAGAGAGAGAGAGAAAGAGAAAGAAAGUAAGUAAUAUGAAGACAGCAGCAGAGAUUGGAGCUUGGCAAUAGCCAAGCUAUGUCAGCAGCCGUCAGAAGUUGGAAGAGGCAAGGAAGGAUUUGAGCCUAGAGCCUUCGGAAGGAGCAUGGCCCUGUUGAUUCUGGCCUCCAGAACUGUGAGAAAAUACAUUUUUGUUGUUUUAAACCACCCAGUUUGUGGUAAUUUGUAACACCAGCUACAAGAAAUCAACACAAGGCUGAUGUGACUUUCCAUCAGGAGAGAGACAGCCCCAGGUAGGUGUUUCAGAUAUUACAUCCAACAGAACAAAGUAAAGACAAACACCCUAAAUUUUCAAUGUUGAUUUGUGAGCAAGUUAUUUCUCCUAUGGGUAACUCUCGUUGAAAUAUGCAAUUCAUUAUGUGGAAACAUGGAAUUGUUAUUUCCAUAGGUUAAAAAAAAAAAACCUCACAUAGUGGCAACAUAUGGCCCAACCUAAUAGUAUGUCCCAGGCAGACUAUACAAGAAUUUACAUAUUUACAGAUGAUUAAUGAUAAUCCCAAAUAAUCACAUUAAAAAACUAUAUCAAGUGCAUGGCUAUAAAUUUUGACAGGUGAUUACUAUGUGAAUUAGUAGUAGUACCUGCUUUUCUCUUUUGUCUGGCUUUAUUUUUUUGGCAAAAAUGCUAGACAACAUGGAAAAUCAGGGAAAUAGUCACAAUCUGAUUCAGUAACCUUUAAACAGCUUCUUCUCAGGUUACAUAGGCUAACUUUUAUAUCAGGAUCAGGAUCUGCAGAGCAAUUAGUAUAGUGCUCUGCAGAUCCUGGUCCUAAUAUAAUAUAGUAUAGCAGGAUCUGCAGACCCUAGUUGUACCUGGCCAUGCUCCCCACCAAUGACUGAGAAAGAAAUGGCUCAUUGUUCAAGAGAAAACAAUGGUCUUGAAAGACAACACAACAGUAGGUUACAAAGAGCAUUAGCUUUUUCUUUAAAGAAAUUCAAUGUAACCAGUGAAGGAUGAGAUUUUAAAUUAGAAAAAUGGAAAUCCUAUGAAUAAAAAACUAGUAAGCUCAAGAGCAGAAUCACUGUGGGGAAAAAAAAAAAACUGAAAAAUAACUUGCAGGUACCAUAGACAGGAAAUUGCCACUAGAGCAAACAGGAAACUUGUGAUAGAUAAAAAUGAAGUGUUUUCAUUUGGAACAAGAGACCAACUGAAGAGAGAUCAAGUGAAGGGGGUUUAUUUUAAUGACACACAAGGAUUCUUGUGGAAAUCAAACUGCCGGAGCCAAAAACAGGGCUCAACCUUCAAGAUUAGAGUUGUGUUCAAGUUGUUCAAGUUGACUCUGGGUCCCAAAGCAACAGCAAUUUCACUAAGGUUAUGCGUAAAAGGUGAAACCUGCCUGCCUGACAGCUUUCCCAGCCUCCUCCAGGCUCCCCUGUUUUCUCUUAUACACAUUCCCCCCCAGUAAACUUCUUGUACAUUUAAUGCCAUCUCAGUGUCUGCUCCCAAGAGGACCCCCACUGACUCACUGGGGCAUUUAACCUCCAAUUCCUUUCCUCCCCUGGCUGAGAUCUGUUCCAAGAAGUAUCUCCAGGACACUCCAGCCUGUUGCACAGGCCAAAGAAAAGCCCUCAGGCAGAGGAGCAAGUACUUGCAAGAGGACACCAGUGGCAAGAACAGGGACAUGGUGAGACAUCAACAUCAUUGGCUACAGUAGUACUAGUCACUCUUGACUGUUGUUUCAAUAGUUUUCCUUCUCAAAAACAUUUGUCACCUAUGUUGGAGUUAAUUCAGAGGACUGCUCCAAAAGAAAAAACUAAAAAGCAAAACCAGCUUUAUUAAAAUGGUUCUGGAUUUAUCUUUUGAGAAUUCCUUUCAUAAGAAAUAAUGUCCUUAAGCUAUAUCAGGAAUAAAAAUGUUCUGCUUGAGAUAGAAAAACUAUUGGUUUUAUGUACCCUACAUCAAAUUUCUAGUGUGAUGUUCAAACCCAUUCCUGAAACCUAUAGCCUGAUAGAUUUCAUAGGAUAAAAAGCCUGAGUUUAAGAGUUCUUAAAAGCAGAGUAAUUAGUCUAAUGGGUUUGGAAAUAAUAUGCAGUUUAAGGCCUAAAUGAUCUGCAUGUGAUACAUAUACAUGUUUAUAUGUUUUAUUCUACUUAAAAUGAGGAAUAGGUGUUCUGACUUUAAUCCUACUUAGUAAGCCAGUAAGGUGUAACAGAAAAUUCAUCCAGAAUGAAUACUGUUUUGGUUUGGCUGUUUCCCAACCCAGUCGCACCUUGAAUUGUAAUAAUCCCCACAUGUCAAGGGCAGGACCAGGUGGAGAUAGCUGAAUCAUGGCAGGUGGUUUCUGCCAUACUGUUCUGCUAGUGAGUUCUCAUGAAAUCUCAUAGUUUUAUAAGGGGCUUCCCCCUUCCCUCGACACUCAUUCUUUCUGUUGCCACCCUGUGAAGAUGUGCCUUUCGUCAUGAUUGUAAGUUUCCUGAGGCCUUCCCACCCAUGCAGAACUGUGAGUCAAUUAAACCGCUUCAUAAAUUACCUAGUCUUGGGUAUGUCCCUAUAGCAGCCUGAGAAUGAACUAAUACAAAGAUGUAGGGAUAAGAUAAAAUUAACAGAGGAAAUAGAGUGCAUGACACUGUUCUGCAUAUUAUGUUCUGAUCAAGGGUACACAUGGGCCUGCUCAUAGUCCCACUUUAUUAGUCAUUUGAAAUGCUGCAAACUUAGUCAUCAGGAAAAUACAAAAAAGGAUAUAUUUAAAAAUUAAUUUAAUGCUUGGCUAAAGCUUAAUUACAUAUAUAAUUAUCAAACGAUAGUCCUUAAUUUCCAAAAAAUUCCUCUUUUGAAAAUCACAGAAUCAGAAAGCAUAAACUUUAAAACAAGUUCUUUGAAUAUUUACAAUGUGAUAUAAACAUUAUAGAAGACCAUGGAUAUUAAAUUGCCUGGGUGUGGCUAAUCAGCAAGGCGUAUUCUUUAUUGCAUAUUUAACUCACAUAUGUGGGAUUUUAAAUAUGACAGACUACUAAAAUUCAAAUGCAUGUAUGUGCAAGCUGGGCAGGGAGUAAAAUCAUGAAUGAGACAGGACGGUCAGCCCAAAACCAUGCAAUUAGGUUGUGGGUUUAUUAUUCUCAAAAGUGAAAUUUCUAUGUUCCAUUUGAAAGUAUGUUGCAUAUAUCAUUUAGCAUUCACAUUAAACCCACAUUUGACUCUAACGCUGAUUCAAGGAAAAAAGUUCAACAUUCACUCAA